CCGCCGCAUUCCCGAGGCGUUUCGAGAAAGCCCCCGUGCGAUUAUCGAGACGCACUGAGAGCGUACACGCUGGGACCCGAAAGAUGGUGAACUAUGCCUGGUCAGGUCGAAGUCAGGGGAAACCCUGAUGGAGGACCGAAGCGAUUCUGACGUGCAAAUCGAUCGUCCGAACUGGGUAUAGGGGCGAAAGACUAAUCGAACUAUCUAAUAGCUGGUUCCAUCCGAAGUUUCCCUCAGGAUAGCUGGCGCUCGAGAAACAUGACGGUUUUCGGACCGCCAUUCGCACAGUCUCAUCCGGUAAAGCGAAUGAUUAGAGGCAUUGGGGCCGAAAUGGCCUCAACCUAUUCUCAAACUUUAAAUGGGUGAGAUCUCCUUCUUGCUCGAAGAUGAAGUAGGAGCUCGGAUGGGAGUGCCAAGUGGGCCAAUUUUGGUAAGCAGAACUGGCGCUGUGGGAUGAACCAAACGUCGAGUUAAGGCGCCCAAUGAACGCUCAUCGGAUACCAUAAAAGGCGUUGGUCGCUCAGGACAGC
rnacentral:rRNA from 1 species